ACGAAGGACGUGACAAGCUGCGAAAAGCUGCGGAGAGAUGCAAAUAAUCGGCGACCCGCAGACAUCCGAAUGGAGAAAUCCGGCUGUGAUGAUGCACAGCCAUCCAUGCCCAAGAGCAUGAGAAGGGAACCGGGCGAACUGAAACAUCUAAGUAACCCGAGGAAAAGAAAUCAAACGAGAUACCCCAAGUAGCGGCGAGCGAACAGGGAAGAAGCCCAAACCGGUGAAGGAAACUUUGCCGGGGUUGAGGACCAUCAGACCCGCGAAGAACCUUAGCCGAAACUGUUGGGAAACAGUGCCGAAGACAGUGAAAGCCUGGUAGGCGAAAAAGAGAAACGCGGAGAUGGCACCAGAGUACCGCGGGACACGAGAAAUCCCGUGGGAAGCAGGGGGGACCACCCUCCAAGGCAAAACACAGAUAUCGACCGAUAGCGCAUAGUACCAUGAGGGAAAGGUGAAAAGCACCCCGGGAGGGGAAUGAAAGAGAACCUGAAACCGUAUGUUUACAAGCAGUCGGAGACCGCUUAAUAAUAAGGUCGACGGCGUGCCUAUUGAAGAAUGAACCGGCGAGUUACGAAGCCUGGCAAGGUUAAGCAGGAAAUGCGGAGCCGAAGCGAAAGCGAGUCUUAAGAGGGCGCAAGUCAGGAAGCGUAGACCCGAAACCACAGUGAUCUACCCAUGUCCAGGUUGAAACACAGGUAAAGAUGUGUGGAGGACCGAACCUAUAUCCGUUGAAAAGGGUUAGGAUGAGGUGUGGGUAGGGGUGAAAUUCCAAUCGAACGUGGAGAUAGCUGGUUCUCCCCGAAAUAGCUUUAGGGCUAGCCUCAGGGAAAAGAUUGCAGGCGGUAGAGCACUGAUCAGGAGAGGGACCUACCCGGUUACCAAACCCAGUCAAACUCCGAAUGGCUGCAAUCAUACCUGGGAGUCAGACUGCGACUAAUAAGGGCCGUAGUCAAAAGGGAAACAGCCCAGACCAUCAGCUAAGGUCCCCAAUGCCGUGCUAAGUGGCGAAGGAUGUGGCAUUUCAUAAACAACCAGGAUGUUGGCUCAGAAGCAGCCACCAUUUAAAGAGUGCGUAAUAGCUCACUGGUCGAGAGACGCUGCGCCGAAAAUGUCCGGGGCUCAAGCACGGAACCGAAGCUAUGGCAUGAUAGCAAUAUCAUGGGUAGGGGAGCGUUCUUAUAAGGAAGAAGCAUGACCGGAAGGACAUGUGGACGAAUAAGAAGUGAGAAUGCCGGUAUGAGUAUCGAAAAGAAAGGUGAGAAUCCUUUCCACCGAAAGCCCGAGGGUUCCUGAGCAACGAUCGUCGACUCAGGGUAAGUCGGGACCUAAGCCGAGGCGGAAAGCGUAGGCGAUGGACAACAGGUUGAAAUUCCUGUACCGGAUCAAGUCGAUCGAGCGAAGGAGCGACGCAGGAGGGCACAUGAUCGCGCGGCUGGAAGAGCGCGUCCAAGUGCGUAUGUUGCCGCAGAGGAAAACCCCUGCAGCUAAAAGCAGAGACAUGAUGGGGAGUUAAAGGAAACUUUGACGAACUCAUGAAUCCCACACUGCCAAGAAAAACUUCUAGCGAGACAAGAUCCGCCCGUACCGUAAACCGACACAGGUAGGCGGGGAGAGAAUCCUAAGGUGCGCGGGAAAACCCUCGUUAAGGAACUCGGCAAAUUGCAUCCGUAACCUAGGGAGAAGGAUGGCCCCCGGUCAGUGAAGAGCAGAAACGCUCAGAGCUAAAAGGGGCGGCAGAAAAGAGGCCCAAGCAACUGUUUACCAAAAACACAGGUGCCUGCGAAAGCGAAAGCUGAAGUAUAGGUGCUGACGCCUGCCCGGUGCCGGAAGGUUAAGGAGAGAAGUUAGCGAAAGCGAAGCAUCGAACUGAAGCCCCGGUGAACGGCGGCCGUAACUAUAACGGUCCUAAGGUAGCGAAAUUCCUUGUCGGGUAAGUUCCGACCCGCAUGAAAGGCGUAAUGAUUUGGGCACUGUCUCAACGAGGGGCCCGGUGAAAUUGAAAUACCUGUGAAGAUGCAGGUUACCCGCGACUGGACAGAAAGACCCCAUGGAGCUUCACUGCAGCUUGAGAUUGAAUCCCGGUGACAGAUGCACAGGAUAGGUGGGAGGCGUCGAAGCAUUGCCCUAGGGCGGUGCGGAGCCGAUGUUGGGAUACCACCCUUCUGUUGCUGAGAUUCUAACGCGAGGAGUAACGACCCUGCGGACCCUCUCAGGCAGGCGGUUUGACUGGGGCGGUCGCCUCCGAAAGAGUAA
rnacentral:rRNA from 1 species